AUUGAACGCUGGCGGCAUGCCUUACACAUGCAAGUCGAACGGUAACGGGUCCUUCGGGCUGCCGACGAGUGGCGAACGGGUGAGUAAUAUAUCGGAACGUGCCCAGUAGUGGGGGAUAACUGCUCGAAAGAGCAGCUAAUACCGCAUACGACCUGAGGGUGAAAGGGGGGGAUCGCAAGACCUCUCGCUAUUGGAGCGGCCGAUAUCAGAUUAGCUAGUUGGUGGGGUAAAGGCCUACCAAGGCAACGAUCUGUAGUUGGUCUGAGAGGACGACCAGCCACACUGGGACUGAGACACGGCCCAGACUCCUACGGGAGGCAGCAGUGGGGAAUUUUGGACAAUGGGCGCAAGCCUGAUCCAGCAAUGCCGCGUGCAGGAAGAAGGCCUUCGGGUUGUAAACUGCUUUUGUCAGGGAAGAAAUCUUCUGGGCUAAUACCCCGGGAGGAUGACGGUACCUGAAGAAUAAGCACCGGCUAACUACGUG
rnacentral:rRNA from 1 species